UACGGGGGGGGCAAGCGUUGUUCGGAAUUACUGGGCGUAAAGGGCGCGUAGGCGGCCUACUAAGUCGGACGUGAAAUCCCUCGGCUCAACCGGGGAACUGCUUCCGAUACUGGUGGGCUUGAAUCCGGGAGAGGGAUGUGGAAUUCCAGGUGUAGCGGUGAAAUGCGUAGAUAUCUGGAGGAACACCGGUGGCGAAGGCGGCAUCCUGGACCGGUAUUGACGCUGAGGCGCGAAAGCCAGGGGAGCAAACGGG
rnacentral:rRNA from 1 species